rnacentral:rRNA from 1 species
AACGAACGCUGGCGGCAUGCCUAACACAUGCAAGUCGAACGAGACCUUCGGGUCUAGUGGCGCACGGGUGCGUAACGCGUGGGAAUCUGCCCUUGGGUUCGGAAUAACAGUUGGAAACGACUGCUAAUACCGGAUGAUGACGUAAGUCCAAAGAUUUAUCGCCCAAGGAUGAGCCCGCGUAGGAUUAGCUAGUUGGUGAGGUAAAGGCUCACCAAGGCGACGAUCCUUAGCUGGUCUGAGAGGAUGAUCAGCCACACUGGGACUGUGACACGGCCCAGACUCCUACGGGAGGCAGCAGUGGGGAAUAUUGGACAAUGGGCGAAAGCCUGAUCCAGCAAUGCCGCGUGAGUGAUGAAGGCCUUAGGGUUGUAAAGCUCUUUUACCCGGGAUGAUAAUGACAGUACCGGGAGAAUAAGCUCCGGCUAACUCCGUG